AACGCACCUUGCGCCCUCGGGUAUUCCUGAGGGCAUGCCUGUUUGAGUGUCGUGUUACCCCUUCUCAUUUUUUGUUUAACAAAAGAUGGAUCAUGGCGUGGUUCGCUGGACAUCUGUCCAGCGUGCGCCGAAAUUGGGCGAUGAAUGCGCUCCGAAAUGUUGUAAUUCCCUCGUUUCGGCGGUUAGCUUUAAUAACACAUGACUUUAUGACCUCAGAUCAGGUAGGACUACCCGCUGAACUUAA
rnacentral:misc_RNA from 1 species